CCCGGCAUUCUGUUGCCGGUAUCCUAGCGAAACAUGUGUCGGGAGCAAUCUCCGGGUGUGAAGCCUUCGGGACAAAGUAUCCUUUGGUGU
rfam:Delta proteobacterium ML8_D scaffold_6, whole genome shotgun sequence.